UUUUUGUGUUUUUUUUAAAUAUUGUAAAUUCAAUAAUAAAAUGCAUUCAACAUUUAUGGCUCUUCCUAACUUUGAAGAUUUGAAGCUGUUGCAUUUUGGGUUUGUUUAAAAAUCGUUUUCAGACUUGACUUUGUAGAGUAGACAAGAAGUGAACAUUCUAGUAAACUUGCACAUUAAAGACAAGUAGAUGUCAGGAUAUGUCUUAUAAACAUGUAGUAUGAAGAUAAGAUUUGAAAAUAUCAUCAUGGAUAAUAUAGAGU